UACGGGGGGGGCAAGCGUUGUUCGGAAUUACUGGGCGUAAAGGGCUCGUAGGCGGCCAACUAAGUCGGAUGUGAAAUCCCUCGGCUUAACCGGGGAACUGCGUCUGAUACUGGAUGGCUUGAGAUUGGGAGAGGGAUGCGGAAUUCCAGGUGUAGCGGUGAAAUGCGUAGAUAUCUGGAGGAACACCGGUGGCGAAGGCGGCAUCCUGGACCAACACUGACGCUGAGGAGCGAAAGCCAGGGGAGCAAAC
rnacentral:rRNA from 1 species